rnacentral:rRNA from 1 species
AUUGAACGCUGGCGGCAUGCUUUACACAUGCAAGUCGAACGGUAACAGGCCUUCGGGUGCUGACGAGUGGCGAACGGGUGAGUAAUGCAUCGGAACGUGCCCAAUCGUGGGGGAUAACGUAGCGAAAGUUACGCUAAUACCGCAUAAGCCCUGAGGGGGAAAGCAGGGGAUCGCAAGACCUUGCGCGAAUGGAGCGGCCGAUGUCAGAUUAGCUAGUUGGUGGGGUAAAGGCCUACCAAGGCGACGAUCUGUAGCGGGUCUGAGAGGAUGAUCCGCCACACUGGGACUGAGACACGGCCCAGACUCCUACGGGAGGCAGCAGUGGGGAAUUUUGGACAAUGGGCGCAAGCCUGAUCCAGCCAUGCCGCGUGCGGGACGAAGGCCUUCGGUUGUAAGCUCUUCUAGCUGGACGAAACGGUACGACGUCUAACAUAGCGUGCUAAUGACGGUACC